GUGGAUGAAGGGUGCAGUGUGUGAAGGGUGUAGUUAGUGUGUGUGUUUGGUGUGCAGUGGGGGGAAGAGGAGUGCAGUGUGUUUGUGUGAAAGGGUGCAUGUGUGUGUGUGAGAGGGGUGCAGUGUGUGUGUGAAAUGUGCAGUGUGUAUGAAAGGUGCUGUGUGUAUGAAAGGUGCUGUGUGUAUGUGUGUGUCUGUGUGAAGGGUGCAGUGUGUUUGAAAGGUGCUGUGUGCCUGUGUGUAUCUGUGUGAAGGGUGCAGUGUAUGUGAAGGGUGCAGUGUGUCAGGAAUGAAGUGUGUGCG